rnacentral:rRNA from 1 species
CCUACGGGAGGCAGCAGUGGGGAAUAUUGGGCAAUGGACGCAAGUCUGACCCAGCAACGCCGCGUGCAGGAAGAAGGCUUUCGGGUUGUAAACUUCUUUUAAGGGGGAAGAGCAGAAGACGGUACCCCUUGAAUAAGCCACGGCUAACUACGUGCCAGCAGCCGCGGUAAUACGUAGGUGGCAAGCGUUGUCCGGAUUUACUGGGUGUAACGGGCGUGCAGCCGGGGAGACAAGUCAGAUGUGAAAUCCACGGGCUCAACCCGUGAACUGCAUUUGAAACUGUUUCUCGUGAGUGUAGGAGAGGUAAGCGGAAUUUCUGGUGUAGCGGUGAAAUGCGUAGAUAUAAGGAAGAACACCAGUGGCGAAGGCGGAUUACUGGACGAUAACUGACGGUGAGGCGCGAAAGCGUGGGGAGCAAACAGGAUUAGAUACCCGAGUAGUC